UAACGUCAGCGGCAGACGGGUGAGUAACGCGUGGGAACAUACCUUUGGUUCGGAACAACACAGGGAAACUUGUGCUAAUACCGGAUAAGCCCUUACGGGGAAAGAUUUAUCGCCGAAAGAUUGGCCCGCGUCUGAUUAGCUAGUUGGUGAGGUAACGGCUCACCAAGGCGACGAUCAGUAGCUGGUCUGAGAGGAUGAUCAGCCACACUGGAACUGAGACACGGUCCAG
rnacentral:rRNA from 1 species